rnacentral:rRNA from 1 species
GACGAACGCUGGCGGCGUGCUUAACACAUGCAAGUCGAACGGAAAGGCCCUGCUUUUGUGGGGUGCUCGAGUGGCGAACGGGUGAGUAACACGUGAGUAACCUGCCCUUGACUUUGGGAUAACUUCAGGAAACUGGGGCUAAUACCGGAUAGGAGCUCCUGCUGCAUGGUGGGGGUUGGAAAGUUUCGGCGGUUGGGGAUGGACUCGCGGCUUAUCAGCUUGUUGGUGGGGUAGUGGCUUACCAAGGCUUUGACGGGUAGCCGGCCUGAGAGGGUGACCGGCAAAAUUGGGACGGAGAUACGGCCCAGACUCCUACGGGAGGCAGCAGUGGGGAAUAGUGAACAAUGGGAGGAAGCCUGAUGCAGCAACGCCGCGUGCGGGAUGACGGCCUUCGGGUUGUAAACCGCUUUCGCCUGUGACGAAGCGUGAGUGACGGUAAUGGGUAAAGAAGCACCGGCUAACUACGUG